rnacentral:rRNA from 1 species
UACGUAGGAUCCAAGCGUUGUCCGGAUUUACUGGGUGUAAAGGGUGCGCAGGCGGACUUAUAAGUCCGAGGUGAAAUCUCACUGCUCAACAGUGAAACUGCCUUUGAUACUGUAGGUCUUGAAUUGGGGAGAGAUUCGUGGAAUUCCGAGUGUAGCAGUGAAAUGUGUAGAUAUUCGGAAGAACACCAGUGGCGAAGGCAGCGAAUUGGCCCUAUAUUGACGCUCAGGCACGAAAGCAUGGGGAUCAAACAGG